GAAAUCGCAUCUCCUAAUACGGGGUGUGGAUGACGGUACCAGCAUAAGAAGCACCGGCUAACUACGUGCCAGCAGCCGCGGUAAUACGUAGGGUGCGAGCGUUAAUCGGAAUUACUGGGCGUAAAGCGUGCGCAGGCGGUUUCGUAAGACAGAGGUGAAAUCCCCGGGCUCAACCUGGGAACUGCCUUUGUGACUGCGAGGCUAGAGUAUGGCAGAGGGGGGUGGAAUUCCACGUGUAGCAGUGAAAUGCGUAGAGAUGUGGAGGAACACCGAUGGCGAAGGCAGCCCCCUGGGCCAAUACUGACGCUCAUGCACGAAAGCGUGGGGAGCAAACAGGAUUAGAUACCCUGGUAGUCCACGCCCUAAACGAUGUCAACUAGGUGUUGGGAGGGUUAAACCUUUUAGUACCGUAGCUAACGCGUGAAGUUGACCGCCUGGGGAGUACGGCCGCAAGGUUAAAACUCAAAGG
rnacentral:rRNA from 1 species